UAUUUUCAUAUAUAUAUAUAUUUUCUUUUUUUCUACAUCAUUAAAAUCAUGAACAGUGAUUUAUGAGUAUGUUGAUUUUUAUACUUCCAAGACUUUCACAGCAAUCAUUCAGAUCAAACAUUACACUAUUCAUAUAAAAAAAGAAAGAUGUAUGAUUACCAAUGAGACAACUCUCCACGAGAGACCAAAAUGACACAGAAAUUAACAACUAUAAGUCACUGUAUGGCCUUCAACAAUGAGCAAAGUCCAUACAAAAUAGUCUAUAUGUUUAGGUGUAUUUAAAAAAAUAAACAUCAACAGUCAAUUAAAAGAUCUUGGUAUUUCCAAGCAGUGACCACUCAACAAAACUACUAAACAAGAGCAUGAGAACAUCAAAAUCAUACAAUUUAAAAUUAAAACAUCACGAAACACAUAAUACACUGUAAUGAUAUAUAUAAAUUAGUAGGACAAUCCUUUUCACAUGAGGUAAAAAAACCAAGGUAUGAUAAAUAGUUAUGAAUACUUAUUUAAUGAACGAUUAGUUUUUUCAUCAAGGAUUAUUAACCAUGAAAAUGAUGAUUAUGCUCAUAGGUCAACUGUCAACUUCCUGAAUAUUCAAAACUGAUGCAACCUCCUCUCAGCAUAAAGAAGGUUAAUUGAAAGGAUAAAAAAGUAUUACAAAGACAUGGAAGCUGCAAAAUCUAUGCUCAUUAAAGAAACCAUCCCACCUUUAGUUAAGAUAUUUAAAAAAAAUAGUGAAAAUUUUAACAUUUUUCAUGAAAUCUGCAUAAAAGGGUGUGUGACAGGGUGUCAUUCUACCCCCCGUAACUUUUUAUUUUCCCUGGAAGCAUAUCUUUAUAUUUUAAUAACUUGUAGCAUGGAUAUAAAGUAUUUUAUAUACAAAUUUAAAAAAAAG
rnacentral:lncRNA from 1 species